GCGCGGGUGGGGGGCUGAGCCCCUGUGGCUUCAGGUUUAAAGGCGCGAGCGCCACCCACGCAGGCACAAGGGCUCCUAGUCGUUUUAUUUUUAGCGUAAGGUUUUCCUCUUUAACAAGGAAGUAAAAAAAAAAGUUGUGCAAUAAAUAUUAAUCGUCCUUAUAUGUACUCGGGAACGUUCGUCCUUUAGGUUUUCUCCUGGCGCAUGGGCGCCGCCAAUCAUUUCGGGGCUUAUUUUGGUUCUAAAGCCCGGGGCAGCCAGGCCUCCCUGCCUGGCCUCGGCGGGGACGCGGGACCUGGGGCCCCGGACCGGGCCUAACCGCCCUGGCCGGUCCCCACUGAUGGUGGCGGUCGGUCCUGAUCGUCCUGAUGGCAGCGACCAGGCUGGACUCGGGCUGUGCAGGGGCGAGGGGAGCAGGGCGGGGUGACGCCCGGAGAGCGGCCUGGAGAGCGCGUGCUUCAGAAGGCGUGGGCACCCUGUCCCCUUUGCAGAUGGGGAUGCAGGCCCUGGUGGCGGUGGAGGGGAGAUGGGGGCAGGGACGUUGCCGGGCAGAGGAAGCUGGUUAAGUAACAUAGCCCUGAGCAGGAAGACUCCUUCCCCACUUCUGUCCAGGAGCUCCUUACUCGAUUCUGGGGAACAGAAAGGCUUUCAGCGGCCAAGGGGAGUGACAACAGCCAGACAUGAGACACCUCCUAGAGCCCUUUGGUGUUACCCUUUCCGGUCCAUCAGCCACAGUGUCCACCCCAGCCAUUCCUGGGGGAUUCCUGGGAGCCAUGUGGGAGAGGCGUGAGGAAGUGAGACCUUCACCCCGAGACAGGUCCUGACACACCCUCUGGUGCCUCUACUCAAGUGAGAAGUUUGGCUGCUGUAACUGACUGGGAAGCUUAAAAUAACAGACAAUCAUCUCUCACAUUUAUGGGGACUGGGAAGUCCAAGACCAAGUUGCCAUCUGGGGAGGGCCUGUUCCUCACAGCGCCUUCCAGCUCAGGCCUCGUUUAUAAGGGCACUCAAGCCUUCCACGACAACGGGUCCUCAUGACUUACUCACCUCGGAAAGCCCCACCCCCAAGACCAUCACAUUGUGGGUGAUGGCAGAGCAUAAGGUGCCUUCCCCACAUGCUCGGGUUGGCCCAGCGUCUCACGCUAGCAGCUACGUGGAAUAGUUAUUUUUUCUGGAGAACUCUGGGACCCCUCUGAUGUCUUGGAGCACCCACACAGGCCGUUCACUGUGCACGCUGUGAGGCUGUCGUCUUGGAGCACCCACACAGGCCGUUCACUGUGCACGUGGUGAGGCUGUCCUCUGGGGAGUUCUGCUGUUGUAUGGGUUCUGUCUGUGUCAAUGUCCCAGCGGGAACGCAGGGCACACUAGCGUCAUCCCCAGAGGGCUUGGUAAGGGGACUGUUUGCAGAGACAUAGGCAGAGGGCUGGAAAACUACCAAAAAAGUGCAGUGUUCUGGACCUAAUAAUAGCAGAGCUAUUCUCACCCUGGUCUGAAGGCAGGAGGGGAGGAGCAGUUAAUGGAUUCUGGAAGUCAGGUUGCACAGAGUCACCUUGAAAGAUGCCAUGACCUUCACCGAGGGCCAGACAGAGACUAAGAUGACCCCAUAGGAGAAUAAGACCUAGACCUCAUCCUCCUGCCUCCUGCCAGUCCCUGCCAGGGGUCGCCAAUGGCAAAACAGGACUGGAAGCCAGAGGCCAUGGAAGCCCAUGGAUGAAGUCCACAGGCCAGCCUCCCCGAGAGCAGCCUGGACGGUCCGCAGGAGACGUCUCCUGUCUUAGGCGUCCCACGCCGCGUGCUCCUGUUCAGCCCUGCCGAGGUGGAAGCUUGGAGUGGCUCACGGUGGAUGCAUUGACGCUGCAGACGCCAGCAAGUGCUACAAACCAGAGCUGGCCUUUAACUCAGACUGAUGGAGAAGGUGUUAAUAAUGCAGAUUAGACUUAAAAGUGUUGAAGCCAUUGCACUGUGAACAGCAAAAAAAUUGAAGAACUCUUCUGGCAUUUAAAAACAAUUACUCAGUUCAGCAGAGAAGUCACUGACAAACGAGAUCACACUGACUGCUUUGUCGUUUUGGUUUUGUCUUACUCAUUAAUGCAAAUAAGAACAUUCACUAGCAUCUGUGUCGGGCCUACCCUCCCUGGUCAAAUACAGCUACAGUCUCCCUGCAGAAACGAGUUUUCCAGAAAUGAGCCGAUGUUUUCUGCGAGAAUCAAUUGGUCAUAUACAAUUUACAAAAAUGAGUACUGUAUACUAUAUUUGUAAACUGUACACUGCAGAUGCUUUAUUUCACUGAAAUUUAUAAUACACUUAUCCAUGUAUAUGCAUGCAUGCAUUUUUGUUCCUGAGAUCCAGC
ensembl:lncRNA LINC03014 long intergenic non-protein coding RNA 3014